UACGGAGGGAGCUAGCGUUGUUCGGAAUUACUGGGCGUAAAGCGCGCGUAGGCGGCUUUGUAAGUUAGAGGUGAAAGCCCGGGGCUCAACCCCGGAAUUGCCUUUAAGACUGCAUCGCUUGAAUCCGGGAGAGGUGAGUGGAAUUCCGAGUGUAGAGGUGAAAUUCGUAAGAUAUUCGGAAGAACACCAGUGGCGAAGGCGGCUCACUGGACCGGCAUUGACGCUGAGGUGCGAAAGCGUGGGGAGCAAACAGG
rnacentral:rRNA from 1 species